rnacentral:rRNA from 1 species
GACGAACGCUGGCGGCGUGCUUAACACAUGCAAGUCGAACGGAAAGGCCCUGCUUUUGUGGGGUGCUCGAGUGGCGAACGGGUGAGUAACACGUGAGUAACCUGCCCUUGACUUUGGGAUAACUUCAGGAAACUGGGGCUAAUACCGGAUAGGAGCUCCUGCUGCAUGGUGGGGGUUGGAAAGUUUCGGCGGUUGGGGAUGGACUCGCGGCUUAUCAGCUUGUUGGUGGGGUAGUGGCUUACCAAGGCUUUGACGGGUAGCCGGCCUGAGAGGGUGACCGGCCAAAAUGGGACUGAGGUACGGCCCAGACUCCUACGGGAGGGAGGAGGGGGGAAUAUUGCAACAUGGGCGGAAGCCUGAUGCAGCAACGCCGCGUGCGGGAUGACGGCCCUCGGGUUGUAAACCGCUUUCGCCUGUGACGAAGCGUGAGUGACGGUAAUGGGUAAAGAAGCACCGGCUAACUACGUG